AAAACUUAGUACAACAGAAUCUACAUUCUUAGAAAAGAUGACAGGAAAAUACAAGGACGUAUCAUGUUGUGAACAAAGUCAUAUUGUAUAGCGGUUAUUAUAAUGCACGCAAAGAUUCAUUAACUGCUAGACAGCAUGUGUAAACAAUUCAAACCUCUAAUCAAAGCAAAAGAAAAAUCCAUGACUAGUUAUUAAAUGUAUGAUUAUUUCUUGCUGUUGCAUUCAAUGCUUUAGCACUUCGUAUUAAUAUUACCUAAUUAAAAUAUUUUCAUAACAA